rnacentral:rRNA from 1 species
AUUGAACGCUGGCGGCAGGCUUAACACAUGCAAGUCGAGCGCCCCGCAAGGGGAGCGGCGCACGGGUGCCUAACGCGUGGGAAUAUGCCCUUGGGUGCGGAACAACGUCUGGAAACGGACGCUAAUACCGCAUAAUGACUCCGGUCCAAAGAUUUAUCGCCCAAGGAUUAGCCCGCGUUGGAUUAGCUAGUUGGUGAGGUAACGGCUCACCAAGGCAACGAUCCAUAGCUGGUCUGAGAGGAUGAUCAGCCACACUGGAACUGAGACACGGUCCAGACUCCUACGGGAGGCAGCAGUGAGGAAUAUUGGACAAUGGGCGAAAGCCUGAUCCAGCCAUGCCGCGUGAGUGAUGAAGGCCUUCGGGUUGUAAAGCUCUUUCGGUUGUGAAGAUUAUGACGGUAGCAACAGAAGAAGCCCCGGCUAAAUUCGUGCCAGCCGCCGCCGUAA